AUUGAACGCUGGCGGCAUGCCUUACACAUGCAAGUCGAACGGCAGCGCGGGGCAACCUGGCGGCGAGUGGCGAACGGGUGAGUAAUAUAUCGGAACGUACCCUGGAGUGGGGGAUAACGUAGCGAAAGUUACGCUAAUACCGCAUACGAUCUAAGGAUGAAAGUGGGGGAUUCGCAAGAACCUCAUGCUCCUGGAGCGGCCGAUAUCUGAUUAGCUAGUUGGUAGGGAAAAGCCUACCAAGGCAUCGAUCAGUAGCUGGUCUGAGAGGACGACCAGCCACACUGGAACUGAGACACGGUCCAGACUCCUACGGGAGGCAGCAGUGGGGAAUUUGGACAAUGGGCGCAAGCCUGAUCCAGCAAUGCCGCGUGAGUGAAGAAGG
rnacentral:rRNA from 1 species